CACAGAGGACUCACCAUGGAAUUGGGGCUGAGCUGGGUUUUCCUUGUUGCUAUUUUAGAAGGUGUCCAGUGUGAGCUGCAGCUGGUGGAGUCUAGGGGAGACUUGGUACAGCCUGGGGGGUCCCUAAGACUCUCCUGUGCAGCCUCUGGAUUCACCUUCAGUAGCUAUGGAAUGAACUGGGUCUGCCAGGCUCCAGGGAAGGGGCUGGAGUGGGUCUCAGUUAUUAGUAGGAGUAGUGGUACCAUACACUACGCAGACUCCAUGAAGGGCCGAUUCACCAUCUCCAGAGACAACGCCAAGAACUCACUGUAUCUGCAAAUGAACAACAGUCUGAGAGCCGAGGACACGGCUGUGUAUUACUGUGUGAAAGACACAGUGAGGGGAAGUCAGUGUGAGCCCAGACACAAACCUCUUGCAGGGGUCCCCAGGACCACCAGGGGGCGACAAGACACUGUGCACGGGGCUGUCUCCAGGGCAGGAGCAGGUGCUGCUGAGGGCUGGCUUCCUGGCAUGGUCUGGGGCUGCAUCAUUGUCAAAUUUCCACAGGGAACUUCUGCAGAUUGA